GUUAAGCAGGCCGCCUGGGGAGUACGGCCGCAAGGUUGAAACUCAAAGGAAUUGGCGGGGAGGCACACAACCAGUGGAACAUGUGGUUCAAUUCGAUACGAACCGAAGAACCUCACCAGGGUUUGACAUGUCGAUGACGUCCUCGGGAAACCGAGGUUUCCGCAAGGACAUCGACACAGGUGCUGCAUGGCUGUCGACAGCUCGUUCCGUGAGGAGUACCCUUAAGUGGGACAACGAGCGUAACCCCUAUCCGCUGUUAAAUCUAUCUGCGGAAACUGCCCCGGCAUUAGUCGGGGAGGAAGGAGGGGCAGACGUCAAGUCAGCAUGGCCCUUAUACCCUGGGCUACACACAUGUUACAAUGGAUAGUAACAACGGGUUUUGCCAGAUCGUAAGAUCGAGCUAAUCCCUAAAAUCUAUCCUCAGUGGGGAUUGAGGUCUGCAACUCGACCUCAUGAACGCGGAAUUGGUAGUAAUCGCGGAUCAGCUAUGCCGCGGUGAAUACGUUCUUGCCUCUUGCACACACCGCCCGUCAAGCCAACAAAGUCGUAAUUAUCUGAAGUUCGAUUUAUUUCGCGCGAAGAUAAUUUCGGCGAUGGGGGUUAAGUCGUAACAAGGUAUCCGUUCUGGAAGGAGCGGAUGGAUCACCUCCUUU
rnacentral:ncRNA from 1 species